rnacentral:rRNA from 1 species
AACGAACGCUGGCGGCAUGCCUAACACAUGCAAGUCGAACGAGACCUUCGGGUCUAGUGGCGCACGGGUGCGUAACGCGUGGGAACCUGCCCUUAGGUUCGGAAUAACUCCCCGAAAGGGGUGCUAAUACCGGAUAAUGUCUUCGGACCAAAGAUUUAUCGCCUUUGGAUGGGCCCGCGUUGGAUUAGCUAGUUGGUAGGGUAAAAGCCUACCAAGGCGACGAUCCAUAGCUGGUCUGAGAGGAUGAUCAGCCACACUGGGACUGAGACACGGCCCAGACUCCUACGGGAGGCAGCAGUGGGGAAUAUUGGACAAUGGGCGAAAGCCUGAUCCAGCAAUGCCGCGCGAGUGAUGAAGGCCUUAGGGUUGUAAAGCUCUUUUACCCGGGACGAUAAUGACAGUACCGGGAGAAUAAGCUCCGGCUAACUCCGUG